rnacentral:rRNA from 7 species
AAACUUUCAACAACGGAUCUCUUGGUUCUGGCAUCGAUGAAGAACGCAGCGAAAUGCGAUAAGUAAUGUGAAUUGCAGAAUUCAGUGAAUCAUCGAAUCUUUGAACGCACAUUGCGCCCUGUGGUAUUCCGCAGGGCAUGCCUGUUCGAGCGUCAUUAC